GAACCUUUUGUGGAAGAACUAAAUAAUCCAAACAGUGUACAAUACAGAACACUUGAAAGACAAGUUGUAACAGCAUGUGACAUCAUCUACAGGGCAAGAUUUGGUUUGCGUUUCAUCCGCACCAUUCUCCUAAGAUUUAGUCGUGUUGUAGCAAGGACACGAACUGAGAAGACUAGAGCAGAGGUGGGACUGGAGUUCAACCAAACAGAGGAAAUCCCACAGGAUGAUGCUGUUGUAGACA